GGGGAGCGGCCGGAGUCCCGCGCUGCCGCUGAGGGACGGGGCCGCGGGGCCUGUCCCGCCUCUCCCGCCUGGCCCUGGCCGCCCUCCUUCAUCCCCCGGCGGAGGAUGUGCCCCGGGUGGCUUUUCACAGCUGCCCUCUGCUCUACCGGAGAGUCAGGUCUGCUCUGGUCCCCUCCAAUCUAAAGCUUCCAUCAUGCAGAAUGGAAAGUUAACCUAAUGGAAGAUGACCAGCUCUGGGUAACAAAACUGAUCCUCAGAAACAUUUAAUAGUGAACAGUUAUUCACCAAACAACUAACUGAGGUAUCAUCUCUUGCUGUCUUCUUGGAAAGGUAGAAGGACUUCAGAGUUUUCUGGAAGGUGAAUUUGGAGCUUACUUCAGAAAGAACUGAAUGAAAUUCCAGUACCUGCACUCCGCAGGAGAUCAGACUCUGUUAACUAAUGGACCCUGUUACCUUUGGACCCCAUGAAUGUUUCUUAGGUUGGUCUUUGACAUACCUAUUAGCAUUUCAUACAUAAUCACUCCCAACGACCACCAGUCACACAGCUUGUUGUACCCAGUCUGCAUAAAGACUUCCGGUGCAAUGUAAUCUGGGGUUCCAACAGUAGAAUAUGCCUGGGAAAAAACAAAACAAAACAAAAAACCUCUUUAAAAGAUAAAUACCAACAUUUUUAUACUUUGCAAAACCUUUUCUUUGGGAUUCACAUAUAGCAUCUUGUUACUUGAAUGGACAAGAAUGUUUAAUUUGAGAUUCACAAUAUCUAAAAUCCAAAUAGUAUUAUUCUUUUAUAUAAGGACAGAGAACCUUGAAAGUAAAUGGAAAUCAUCCCCCUAAAUGUGAUGAAAUCAUAGAAUAUUCCCACUGCAAUAUCAGAGAAUCAUCUUAGCUAAAAUUUCAGAUAGCUGCAUUGCUAAAAUACCCAAGAAGUUCUGUGGUUGUACUGGGGUUUUGGGGGGGGUUUUUUGGUGUUUUUUCUUGUUGUUAGUUGUGGGGUUUUUUUGUUGGUUGGUUUUGUUUUUAAAGAGAUAACCAGUAGUAGAUUCCCAUGUGUGACACUCAUGAUGCACCAGCUGUUCCAUGUAUUACUAUGUCUUAUUGCAAAAUUAAUUUGAGCUCCUACUGGACCAGGCUCCAUCCUUUUAACCUUUUCAACGUGCAAACUAGAGAUCUUGAGCUAUUUGGGAAUUUCUCUUUACUGAUGAAAAAUUUCCCAUGGGCAUGGGGGGAAGGGAUAGGAAAAAAACUAAACAAAGAAAACCUACCAAAGCAGUUUUGCCAGGGAAAAAAAGCAACAAACACUUUGUCUCUGCAGAAACAAAAUACAUCAUUUUUUUCAACAGAGCCAAGACAUUUAGCUUCAAACCAACUGAAAACCAAGAAUAUGGCUCCAAGAAUAGUGUUGAUACAAGUUAUCAUUUUGGCCUUUUAUUUUCUUUGUUGGACUGUCUCACCAUUUAUCUGGCUUCACUACACGAUUCAGCCACAGAAGUCUUCAAUGACCUGGGAGAUAGAGGCUUUUCAGAGAUCCAAGCCAAGAGGGAGUAAAGGUGUGAAGCACAGCCCCUAUGAGGCAGCAUGGCUGCAAUGUAAUUCAUCAUGUCGCAUGCAGAAAGAAAAAACAACCCAAAUGCUUUUUGGGAAUACUGCAACAUAUCAGUUUUUAAACAGAGUGCAAAUGACAAAGUUCCAAUACUUAUAAAUGGAGGUUUUGCAACUGUUCUUUGGUGAAAAUCACAAGUAGGGCUGAAAUUCUGAAAUCCCAUUAUUGACAGCCAUUUAUGACUCAACUACUGUUCACUGUAAUAAAACCAGGCUGCACCACUCCAGUGCCAAUAUCAUCCACUGCCUUUCCAUCAUAUUCCCACAGAAGGGCAAACAAUUUUUCCCCACAACUCUCUGAAACAGACUCAUGCAGCUGUGUAUCUGCUUGUGACACUGAACUGCAAGACCUAAACCCAGGAGCUCACACAGAGUAUCAAUGCCAGGUCAGUUUAGGAGACAAAGUCAAGACACAUUUUGAGAAGCUGUUGCUGACACUUGAGGUUAGUUAGUUUAGAUGCUCAUAAGGGAAAUAGAGGUGUAGAGAAGAUCAGGGCCUUGCUAGUCACAGCUCUGAAAACAGGCAAAGUGACCCAGCUGAUGGCCACUCUUCCUCUGAUCUCUGAGUUAUUCCACAACUGGAAUCACUAAGAUCACCUUCUUUAGAGUUAAUUGGAAUUUUGGGAGCUCAAAGAAAGAAACAGCUGUACAGCACAAGGGCCUUUCAGUUUUUAAAAUCCAGCAGCAUUAAUGCCCAGUUUUUACUUACCAUUUUCUGUAAACAGUUUAAAAAUAAAAAAAAAUAUACAUAAUUUUCUUAACUUA